rnacentral:tRNA from 1 species
UAUAUAUUAGUGAAUUUACACAUAAAAUUUUGGAAUUUUAAAUUAAUAAUAAGAAUUAUUAUAUAUAU